rnacentral:rRNA from 1 species
UACGUAGGGUCCGAGCGUUAUCCGGAGUUACUGGGCGUAAAGCGCGCGCAGGCGGCGGUGCUGGCCCGGCGUGAAAGCCCCCGGCUCAACCGGGGAGAGUCGUCGGGGACCGCACCGCUUGAGGGCGGUAGGGGCUGGUGGAAUGCCUGGUGUAGUGGUGAAAUGCGCAGAUAUCGGGAAGAACACCUAUGGCGAAGGCAGCUCUCUGGGACGGUACUGACGCUGAGACGCGAAAGCGUGGGGAGCGAACAGG